rnacentral:tRNA from 1 species
UUUAUAUAGUUUAAAUAAAACACUAGGUUGUGAUUCUAGUAUUAGAGGAUACUCUUGUAAACCA